rnacentral:rRNA from 1 species
AGUGAACGCUGGCGGUAGGCCUAACACAUGCAAGUCGAACGGUAGCACAGUACAGGCUUCCUCUUACGUGUGGCGAGUCGGGGGCGGGUGUGGUAUACGUCGGACUCUACGUUUUAGGGGGGGAAAAACUAGGGAAACUUACGCGUAUAGCGCAUCGUCCCAACGCGUGAAAGCAGGGGAUUUUCGGACCUUGCGCUCGUGUAUGCGCCGAUGUGGGAUUAGCUUGUUGGCGGGGUAAAGGCCCACCAAGGCGACGAUCCGUAGCUGGUCUGAGAGGAUGAUCAGCCACACUGGAACUGAGACACGGUCCAGACUCCUACGGGAGGCAGCAGUGGGGAAUAUUGGACAAUGGGCGCAAGCCUGAUGCAGCCAUACCGCGUGUAUGAAGAAGGCCUUCGGGUUGUAAAGUCCUUUUGGUGGGAAAGAAGGGAGGAAGGUUAAUACCCUGCUGUUCUGACGGUACCCGAAGAAUAAGCACCGGCUAACUUCGUG